rnacentral:rRNA from 1 species
UACGUAGGGACCGAGCGUUGUCCGGAUUCAUUGGGCGUAAAGAGCUCGUAGGCGGCUGUUCAAGUCGAACGUGAAAACUCGGAGCUCAACUCCGAGCCUGCGUUCGAUACUGGACGGCUAGAGUCUGGUAGGGGGAUCUGGAAUUCCUGGUGUAGCGGUGGAAUGCGCAGAUAUCAGGAAGAACACCAAUGGCGAAAGCAGCUCUCUGGGACGGUACUGACGCUGAGACGCGAAAGCGUGGGGGAGCGAACAGG